rnacentral:rRNA from 1 species
GCUAACGCGUUAAGUCGACCGCCUGGGGAGUACGGCCGCAAGGUUAAAACUCAAAUGAAUUGACGGGGGCCCGCACAAGCGGUGGAGCAUGUGGUUUAAUUCGAUGCAACGCGAAGAACCUUACCUGGCCUUGACAUCCACGGAAUUCGGCAGAGAUGCCUUAGUGCCUUCGGGAACCGUGAGACAGGUGCUGCAUGGCUGUCGUCAGCUCGUGUUGUGAAAUGUUGGGUUAAGUCCCGCAACGAGCGCAACCCUUAUCCUUUGUUGCCAGCGAGUAAUGUCGGGAACUCAAAGGAGACUGCCGGUGACAAACCGGAGGAAGGUGGGGAUGACGUCAAGUCAUCAUGGCCCUUACGGCCAGGGCUACACACGUGCUACAAUGGCGCAUACAAAGAGAAGCGAACUCGCGAGAGCAAGCGGACCUCACAAAGUGCGUCGUAGUCCGGAUCGGAGUCUGCAACUCGACUCCGUGAAGUCGGAAUCUCUAGUAAUCGUAGAUCAGAAUGCUACGGUGAAUACGUUCCCGGGCCUUGUACACACCGCCCGUCACACCAUGGGAGUGGGUUGCAAAAGAAGUAGGUAGCUAACCUU